GCAGAAUUUUAUUAUGUUUGUGCACUUCAAUUCCGGUUAUCUCCGGUACAAUUCAUUGCAAUUAUGAUAACGCACUCCCUUCUGAUUUGGAAACCCGAUACAUCAAACUCAAAUCCAAACCUAAAUCUUCAAAUGCCCACUUCGAUUUUGACUCUCUCAGAGGCAAAAUAGGUCAUGGCUCUCCUAACAAAACUGACUCAGUUGGGAAAACAAAUUCAAUGAAGGAUAAAGUAGAUAUUUUCUUGGAUCCUGAAGAGAAGGAAUUCCCAAGUAAAGGGUAUGUUUCUUUUCCCUAGAAUUCUUCAACAGGAGAACAGAUUUUCUCGCCUAUGGAUGAAAACCCAAGUGGAGAAAAGGGUUUGGAGGAGAAAU
rnacentral:misc_RNA from 1 species